rnacentral:lncRNA from 1 species
UGUGAUAUAAACUUAGAAAUGUGCUAUUUUGGAGAUUUGCCCAAAUUUGUAGCUUCAAAAAAAAUAAAUGUUUAAUUUUGCAAGCAGAUGAAUAUAUAUAUAUAAAUGUUAAUCUUUUUUAAAAAAAAUAAUGUUAAUCUCACAGUUGUAAUAGAGUACACAAGUGACAAGAAGUUCAAGUAUUAUUUUAUAAGUUAUAUGUAAUAAGCAUAUAAGAAAUAUGUUCUUCAUAUAAUAGUAAUUCCUUUGUUUAUAUCUAGAAAUGUUAUUUCAAAAUGACGAACGUUUUACACUAGUUUUCUUGAUAUAAACCCCACAAGACUUUACGCAAAAAUAUAACAAGAUAUUUCCUUUGUUUGAUGGACUGAAAAAUGGGAUGUCCAUUUUUUCCAAGAAAGAUUAAAAAAAGGUGUUUGCUAAAAAAAAAAUAUCAAAAAAAGGUUU